AGAGUUUGAUCCUGGCUCAGGACGAACGCUGGCGGCGUGCUUAACACAUGCAAGUCGAACGGAAAGGUCUCUUCGGAGAUACUCGAGUGGCGAACGGGUGAGUAACACGUGGGUGAUCUGCCCUGCACUUCGGGAUAAGCUUGGGAAACUGGGUCUAAUACCGGAUAGGACCACAGGAUGCAUGUUUUGUGGUGGAAAGCGUUUAGUGGUGUGGGAUGGGCCCGCGGCCUAUCAGCUUGUUGGUGGGGUGAUGGCCUACCAAGGCAACGACGGGUAGCCGGCCUGAGAGGGUGUCCGGUCACACUGGGACUGAGAUACGGCCCAGACUCCUACGGGAGGCAGCAGUGGGGAAUAUUGCACAAUGGGCGCAAGCCUGAUGCAGCGACGCCGCGUGGGGGAUGACGGCCUUCGGGUUGUAAACCUCUUUCACCAUCGGCGAAGCUUCCGGUUUCGGGGGUGACGGUAGGUGGAGAAGAAGCACCGGCCAACUACGUGCCAGCAGCCGCGGUAAUACGUAGGGUGCGAGCGUUGUCCGGAAUUACUGGGCGUAAAGAGCUCGUAGGUGGUUUGUCGCGUUGUUCGUGAAAUUCCCUGGCUUAACUGGGGGCGUGCGGGCGAUACGGGCAGACUGGAGUACUGCAGGGGAGACUGGAAUUCCUGGUGUAGCGGUGGAAUGCGCAGAUAUCAGGAGGAACACCGGUGGCGAAGGCGGGUCUCUGGGCAGUAACUGACGCUGAGGAGCGAAAGCGUGGGGAGCGAACAGGAUUAGAUACCCCGGUAGUCC
rnacentral:rRNA from 1 species